rnacentral:rRNA from 1 species
UACGUAGGGGGCAAGCGUUGUCCGGAAUCAUUGGGCGUAAAGCGCGUGUAGGCGGUUCGGUAAGUCUGCUGUGAAAGUCCAGGGCUCAACCCUGGGAUGCCGGUGGAUACUGUCGAGCUCGAGUCCGGAAGAGGCGAGUGGAAUUCCUGGUGUAGCGGUGAAAUGCGCAGAUAUCAGGAGGAACACCAAUGGCGAAGGCAGCUCGCUGGGACGUGACUGACGCUGAGACGCGAAAGCGUGGGGAGCAAACAGG